CGCUCCAGACGAAGUUCAUGCUCAACGGAUCUACCGUUGAAAAUUUGUAGAUACUCAGGCACAAAACCACCGAGCUUAUGGAGAACUGUAGAAAAAUCAUGUACUGGAACACGGUGUUCACCGUUCGGACAAAUCUGUAAUGAUCCUUUCUGGACACGUUGCUGUUUCUUGUUACCGUCAACAGGGAGGACAGAUUUUGUACUCGAUGACAAAAUAUGUCAAACUGCACGCCAGCUUGUAUCAUCAAUCCGGCAAUCAGGGUCUCGUUGCCCACGCUCGCGUUCGCACAGAUCAACAGUCCAACUGUUUGAUACAACAGGGAUAUCGUGUACAAUUCUGACGAGGAUAAGUCGUAUGGUAUCCAAUCGGAUACGGGAACAAGUUGGCCACUUUGAGAGAAACACCUAGGACCGAGAUGCAGAGGGAAAAUUUUUCGCUCAUUGUCUUCAAGUUUUUGCUGAUCAACGAAUCCACGCAAGUACAGAACGUGAUAAAAUAUAAGAGGAAAAUCAUGAAUGCCGAGUAAACGUUGUACAGGUGAUAUUUGUACGAGGAAGCCGGCCAUUUUGUUGGCCUCCAAUAGCCACCGAGACAGAAGGUUGCGGCGCAUUGAUGAGAAUUAAUCGACGAACGAGAAAUUGAAAUUCGUAAGUAAUAAAAAAAAGAUAUUAUUUUUUAUGAUAAUUAAAAAAAAUAUUAUAAAAAAAUUAUAAUUAAUAUUAUAAAAAAAGAUAUUAUUUUUUAUAAUAUUUUAUGAACAAUUUUGUAAAACAGAAAGCGCAAAUUAUUAAUGAGAAAGAUAUUUUUUAUUACGAAUUAUAGAUUAUAAUUUACAUUGGU